UUCAUCCAUUGGAUGAAAAUGAUUAAAUCUCAGCCAUCCAAAAUGAAAAAAAAAAAAAAAAAUUCAAAAAAAAUUCUCCCGGGUACCUUCCCCUCCGGUUCCCCCCAUCUCUCCUCCUUUUCCCCUUUUCCCCCCCUAAUUUGCUGUUUUGCUCUCUUCCCAAGCCAACUUCCUCAGCUCACCCGUUUCCCGCCCCUCCAUAGCUGGGUGUCUCGCGCAUCCUCCAUAGCCGACUUCCUCAGCUCACCCAUUUGCCGACUUCCUCAUCUUUGUUUGCCGACUUCCUCCAUAGCUCACCCAUUUCCCGCUGUCAUCUUUGUUUUCUCUCCCUUUUCCCGUUUUUCUCUCCAGUGAUUGUCCACAGCUGGGUGAAGACCACGGUCGGCUUCAACCGGGCCAACCUCUUCGAGGCCGACGUCGCAGACCUUAUCAAAGACGUCUCCACAGCUAGGUGGAGACCACCUUCGCCGUCAGUCGGGAUCAAAGACGUCUUCACAGGUGGGUGGAGACCACCAUUGCCGUGAAUCGGGCCAACCUCCUCCAAGUCGACGUCUUGACCUCAUCAAAGAAGUCUCCCUCAAGGACCGCGAGCUCAGGAUUGUGGGCGAGGUCGGUGCCAAGAUCCGAGUCUUAGACUUCAUUUCUCCCGAUGUCCAGGUUCUAAAUUUAAUGGUUUAAAAACCCGAAUUGAAGACGUAGUUGGAAGAAGAAGAAGAGGACGUGUAGUACUAAGGAAAAGAAAGCUGAGAAGGACACAAUUGUUUGUUACUCAAAAGACGCUUGUAUCCUAAUUAUUUGGCGAGUUCUAUAUAAAGGGAAAAAAAUGAGCGAAUGCGAUGGUCUUGAAGUUAUUAGAAAUCCAAAGAGGCCUAUCGGCGCUUGGAUACAUUACUAUAACGAUCAAUUAGCCAUGAUGAAAGAGAAGGACAAAG